CGUCAGCUCGUGUCGUGAGAUGUUGGGUUAAGUCCCGCAACGAGCGCAACCCUCGCCCUUAGUUGCCAGCAAUCAGUUGGGCACUCUAGGGGGACUGCCGGUGAUAAGCCGAGAGGAAGGUGGGGAUGACGUCAAGUCCUCAUGGCCCUUACGGGCUGGGCUACACACGUGCUACAAUGGCGGUGACAGUGGGCAGCGAACUCGCGAGAGGGAGCUAAUCUCCAAAAGCCGUCUCAGUUCGGAUUGUUCUCUGCAACUCGAGAGCAUGAAGUUGGAAUCGCUAGUAAUCGCGUAACAGCAUGACGCGGUGAAUACGUUCCCGGGCC
rnacentral:rRNA from 2 species